rnacentral:lncRNA from 1 species
AUUUACCUUAGAAACAUGAUCUAAUUGUUAAUAAAAAUUUUGAAAUACCUUUUAAUAUCCUACUCAAAGUAUAGUGUAAUAUAAAAAUAUAAGUCGAUAACGAUUACAAUGUAAAAUAAAUAGAGAAGGUAACAACCUUUCCACGAUACUUUUUUUUUGCAUCAAUCAAGAGGACUAACUACUUAUUGAAGAACAAUAGCAAUGUGAGAAGAGAAUAAAUAUGUAGGUUGAU